AUGGCUUCCAGCACCACCAGGUACUCAUUUCUUUUCGAUUUUAUUUAUUUAUUUAUUAAUCCUGUAUCACAAUUAUUUAAUAACAAUAAUAAUAUUAAAAGCAGGCGAUUGAGGGCAUUCAAGCGUUGGAUGAAGUCCCAAGGGAUCUCAUGGUGCAGCGAUGCUCUCGAAUUGAUUGACGCUCCCGACCAAGAUGGCAUUUUCGUUAAAGCACUUAGGGCUUUGAAGGAAGGAGAGGUGGUUGCCUCCAUUCCGAAGGCCGCCUGCCUCACCUCCAGGACCUCUGGCGCCCGCCAUAUAAUCGAAGCCACCAGCUUUACCGGUUGCUUGGGCCUAUCCUUUGCUCUUAUGUACGAGAUCAGUUUGGGCCACCUCUCUCCUUGGGCUUCCUAUCUUCACCUCUUGCCCGACAGCGAAUGCUUGCCUUUGGUUUGGACUCUUGAUGAGGUCGAUUACUUUCUUUCUGGUACCGAGCUCCAUAAGAUAGUGAAAGAAGACAAAGCUCUUAUAUAUGAUGAUUGGAAGGAGUGUAUAUUGCCUCUGGUUGAUGUUCAUCAUCUUAACCCUCAAUAUUUUGGUGCUCACCAAUAUUUUGCUGCAAGAACUCUUAUUGCUUCUCGAUCUUUUCAAAUUGAUGACUAUCAUGGGAUUGGGAUGGUUCCUUUGGCUGACCUCUUUAAUCACAAGACCGGUGCUGAGGAUGUGCACUUUACCUGUGGUUCGUCUGAUUCUGACUCUGAUGACAACAGCAAUGGCAACCAUUCUUUUACUGAAAAUACUGUUGAUGAAGUACCCUCGGAUGAUCGCGAGAUCUUGGAAAUGAUUAUGGUCAAAGAUGUCAAAUCUGGAGCUGAGGUCUUUAAUACAUAUGGAUCAGCAGGUAAUGCUGGAUUGCUCCAUAGAUAUGGAUUCACAGAGCCAGAUAAUCCAUACGACAUUGUCAAUAUUGACUUGGACUUGGUAUUUAAAUGGAGUUCAUCGUUGUUCUCUGACCGGUAUACCAGGGCAAGGUUGUCCCUUUGGAGAAAAUUAGGUUACUCUGGAUGUGUUAGUGAGAAUGCUGAAUACUUUGAGAUCUCAUUUGAUGGGGAUCCACAAGUUGACUUGUUGAUUUUGUUGUACGUAAUGUUGUUAGCAGAGGAUGACUAUUGUAAAAUGGAUAUAGCUGUUUCAACUGCAAAUAACCAUAAAGAAUCCAUCAGCACGACUCUUUCAGAAAAAGGUUAUAUCACGCUGGAUAAAGGUUCAGAAAUAAAUAAAGAUUUAUUGCUGACAGAAAGUGUUUGUAGUGCUCUUUUCUGGCUUGCUGACAAGAGGGAGAGUCUGUAUGGUUUAAGUUCAAUAAAGGAUGAUAUUGAAGCACUGGAAAAGUGUAGUGAGAAAGAUAGAAAGUUGUACCAUGCUCUCAUGUUGCGUGUGAGUGAGAGGAGGAUUCUUGAGAAACUUAGAACUUAUGCUGCUGUUGGAUUUGGUGCUGAUUUAUUGAAAACUGCUAAGUGAGCAACUGAGAGAAAGAGAAAGCGAUUGAAGAGGAACUGAGGAAAGUUUCUAAUGAAUCUGAGGAAAAGAGCCUGAGUAUUGGCACAGCUGUAAGGUUGUUCAUAUGAGAUCAAAAUAUCAUGGGAUUGAGUCAAUGACAUUUGUAAAGUAGGGAGCUGUAAGCGAUAAGGUGCCCCCUUUGAGAGUGAACCUUUAAUGAAAGGUAAGGUUGCCGACGAUGGAUCUCUAGAAUGGACUCUAACAUGAUCAUUGAUGUCGCAUGGUAAUUGUGCACGAAAGCACGUGAGCUUCUUAUUCAACUCAUAUGAAAUGUCCUGAUUGAUAUCCUCAAUUAAUAGAGAUGCUGCUAGUUUGCUGUCUAAAUGGGAAAGGGAGCAAGUCACUAUGGCUGUUGUUGUUUUUGGGAGUUAAGCUUUUGAAGGGAAACGAGACCCUUUUAAGGAGGGAGAUUCGAGGAAAGGUAUGGGCAUGGUAUGUCUUUUCUGAAUGCAAAAGAUAGUUGGUUGAGGAUCGAUUGGUUUCUUUAUAUAAUGUAGAGGUGGUUGUAUUAUUUUGAGAAUGAGGAAUUGUUAAAGAAAAAUUAUGUGGUUGUUUAUCCUAUGAAACCCUUUUAUUUAUGAAAAGCAAUUACGGAUGUUGCAGCAAAUCUGCUCACAGACAUAGUGGCGAUUUCUGAUACACAAGUGUGGCAGUGUGUGCGCACUUGCAAUGAGUUCUUCUUUUCUUGUGUGGAAGUCCUGAAAGUUAGAGACAGAAAUCUACCGUCUAAUAUUUUAUUA